GAUGAAGAACGCAGCGAAAUGCGAUAAGUAAUGUGAAUUGCAGAAUUCAGUGAAUCAUCGAAUCUUUGAACGCACCUUGCGCUCCUUGGUAUUCCGAGGAGCAUGCCUGUUUGAGUGUCAUUAAUAUAUCAACCUUCUCUUUUUUGAGUUGUUUGGAUGUGGGGGUUUGCUGGCCUCUUAAAUGAUUCAGCUCCCCUGAAAUGCAUUAGCAGAACAACCUGUUCAUUGGCAUGAUAAUUAUCUAUGCUAUUGAAUGUGAGGGCAGUUCAGCUUUCUAACCGUCCUUGGACAAUUCAUCAUUAAUGUGACCUCAAAUCAGGUAGGACUACCCGCUGAACUUAAGCAUAUCAAUAAGCGGAGGA
rnacentral:misc_RNA from 1 species